CAGGCCAUUAUGCCAAGUGGUUAGAAAUGUGGAGGUGCAAACUUUGUCCAGUAGAAUUUAUAACCUCUGGGAAAGACAAGAAGAAACAACAUGAACACAUAUAACUCACACAGACGGGAUUUGUGCUACUCACACUAACCAUGCAAGGUUCCCAGACAACUGUCUCAGUGGUCUCAGCACUUACUUCUCUGAUGGAGGAGCAUCAUUCUUGAACUGCUAUUCCUAUCUUUUUCAGUCUAACUUUCGUGGCCCUGGCUGAAGAACCUAGGAUGCAGAGAGAAAAGGUGUUUUUUUCUUCUAUACUAUCCAUACACCAAGAGCAAGGAGCUGACAGUGCAGAUACAUGAGUAAUACAGCUACAGACAGUGACAGCCAAGAGAAAUGGCCCCUCAUGGGUCAACCUACGUUUCUGUGGCUGUGCUCUGUUGUUUAAAUACGGACAUUUGUAGUACCCAGGAUUGAGCACAUAACUGCCUUGGUGGAAACUCGGAAUGAUUCUGACCUCUCUGGUUUUGCCCUAUGCGGUGGGGACUAUGCAGGAGCCAUCAGAAAUGAAGACCCAAAGAGAGAAGGAACCUGUAUAUUUUUAUGUUGGAUUUUAUGAAGAAGUGGAUAUAGUGGUGGAGAAGCAUGAUUGGACAAAGAGGCCAUGAUCUACUGGCGAUGAACUGCGAGGGACUUAGCAAGGCCCAUGUGUCCAGAUUCUCUGUCCCCUUGUCUUUAGAGAUAAGGUGCCCCCCUUUCUCUCUUCCUCUCUCUCUCUGUAGUUGCUGAAGAGGGCACCUCUUGAAUGAGAGUUUUAGAGGAGAAGGGUAAGAGAAAAGUGAGAGUGACCUUCCUGCUGUUCUCUCAAGUGCCAGGGUGCCAUAUUCUGGGGGUAGUAUUGAGGUAGGAGAUUAGGGGAGGAAAAACUGGUCAAACAACUACGAAGAGCUUGGCAGUCCUGAAGACCCAGGGCACAUUCACAGAACACAGAAUUCAGGUUGACUAUACAGUUCCCAACCCUGCAGGUGGGACCAAUCAAAAAAGUGCCAUUUUCAAUUCUUCAUUUAUACCUGACACAAAACCAAGCAGGCCUUUGAUAGGACAGCUUAAUUCUGAUGUCAGGCCAAGUGAGUUACUGAUAGCACAACCUUCCCAAAUGCCUUGUUUGCAAGGUGGGAAGCAACCUAGGAAUUCAUAUACAAAAGAGCUCUGUCAUUAUCCUUGUGGCAACUGUGAGUUCAUACACUAGCCAGCUCUCACUCUGCAGAGCAUAUUUCUUUUCCACCUUUAAUAAAUGUAAAUUCUUACUACCUUUUUAUCACAUGUCUGUCCAGUUCUUUGUUCAGAACAUCAAAAGCCUGGAAAGAAUCUCUUUGGGACCCAAAAGCUGGUAACAUUUUGUUCUGGCCCCACCAAAGCCAAUCCCAGGGCAUGUGGGCCAACCUACCGAUGCUCUUUCCUCUGUCUCACAAUUAGGGUUCUAAUGUCAGCUCCUUGACUCUGAACCCAGGCUCAGGACCCCCAGACUCAG
rnacentral:lncRNA from 1 species